UUACUGUAUAUUUUUUGAAUUUAACUUUUUGAAAUUUGAAAACCAUCGUAAGUUUUCGAUAGUUAUUCCCACAGGUCGCUUGACACGCAAGUGACGGUGACGGCGCGACGCCAAUAAUACACACGACGUAAGCGUGCGAGUCACACUAACACUUAGACGGUGCAGUGCGGUCCAUAUGGAGUAACACUAAUUGUUUAUGACUUUAUGCCGCUAACAUUAAUGCUAUAAAUAAAUGAUGUCUCCGCGCUUUCUCGGCGCUACUAAGAGCAUUUUCUCGCGCUCCAAAUACCUCCUCGUCGUAGCCGCACCCAUAACAAGACCACGAGUGCUCUCCACAUCUUCAGUUUCCUUCCCGCUUAAAACCGCUAAACCACCUGUCAUGUCAUACCGUCCUAAUUACCAAGGCGGACAGCGCCGCGGAGGCGGAGGCCCUUCCACAUCCGGUCGCGGUGGGCGACGUGGUGGACGCGGAGGCGGCGGAGGUCGCGGCGGUGGUGGAGGAGGUCGUGGCGAGCAGCGUUGGUGGGACCCCGUCUGGCGUGCCGAGCGCUUGAGGCAGCAAGCAGCUGAGGUAUUGCGAUACUGAAUCAUUCUCACGUGUUGUACGCAUUUAAGGGUACUAGCAGGUUCUGUUUGAAAGAGAUUGAGGAAAUAGUUUAAACUGAUAAGUUAGGGGUUAUUGAUUGUGUUGAAUGGCAAUUUUUUUAAUUAAUUGAAAAAUGAGUAACGGAUCUGUACAGUACGAUUGAAAGAGUGAAAACCAUAAAAUCAAUGCAAUAAAUGAGAAUAGAAAAUGUAUUCCUUAUUCUUUCAAUGAGAAUAGAAAGUUUGUGUUCAUUGUGUUUGUAUGUGUGGAAUUAUCUUAUAGAAAGUUUUAAGUCAUUUGAUUAUCUACCAUGUUUACACAUUUUUUUAUAUUGUCAUGUUAGCUCAGUAUUACCGAUAUUUGAUGAAAGCAAAUAAGAGUAACUGAUUUUUGUUUAUGAAGUUUGUUAUGAUUUUUUUUUUCUUUUUUCAAAGUAUAGGAUUGACUCAUUUUUAAGUUUUAGCUUGACAUUUUGCAUAUUUAAUAUUUUAUGAAUUAUAGGUUGGAAUAUAGUUUUCUAAAUGUUACUGUAUAUUUUUUGAAUUUAACUUUUUGAAAUUUGAAAACCAUCGUAAGUUUUCGAUAGUUAUUCCCACAGGUCGCUUGACACGCAAGUGACGGUGACGGCGCGACGCCAAUAAUACACACGACGUAAGCGUGCGAGUCACACUAACACUUAGACGGUGCAGUGCGGUCCAUAUGGAGUAACACUAAUUGUUUAUGACUUUAUGCCGCUAACAUUAAUGCUAUAAAUAAAUGAUGUCUCCGCGCUUUCUCGGCGCUACUAAGAGCAUUUUCUCGCGCUCCAAAUACCUCCUCGUCGUAGCCGCACCCAUAACAAGACCACGAGUGCUCUCCACAUCUUCAGUUUCCUUCCCGCUUAAAACCGCUAAACCACCUGUCAUGUCAUACCGUCCUAAUUACCAAGGCGGACAGCGCCGCGGAGGCGGAGGCCCUUCCACAUCCGGUCGCGGUGGGCGACGUGGUGGACGCGGAGGCGGCGGAGGUCGCGGCGGUGGUGGAGGAGGUCGUGGCGAGCAGCGUUGGUGGGACCCCGUCUGGCGUGCCGAGCGCUUGAGGCAGCAAGCAGCUGAG
rnacentral:lncRNA from 1 species